CGUUGCGACAACAAGAAAACGUUCACAUUUCCGGUUGUGACAACGUAGCUGACAACGUUGCUACCUAAUUCGGUCGCCAGAUAACGUCGUAACAACAUUGGGACAACGGAAAAUUGUUAGCUGGGGUCUGGCAGCCUGUGGAGAAGACACGUCUUUUGGCACCAGGGUUUUAACAGCAGUGAUACAGAGGACAACCAACCACAGGAGCCACAACACCUAGUUUGAAUGCAUGCUGGGAAAUGCUGCUAGCAUAACAAGCCCUCCUCUAAUAGUACACAUACACAAACUACAAGACACAAACACACACACAUCAUUACCUUCUAUCUUAAUGAGGACAUCAAAAGUUUUCCCAGGAACAGUCUGAUAUGCCAUGAUUUCAAUGAGCCAAAGGCCAAAACCGCAUGAAAAUACGCUUUAAGUUAUCGAUGUUCCUAAAAUUUCAACAAUUUCCAGAGAAAAGCUUUGAACAAUUUGUUACAUUUAUUGUAAUUGAAGCGAUUAUAUAUUUGCAGUUAUCCAGUUUUGGAUGAUUUGUAGUCUCUCUUUAGUAAGUGAAUGCGUGUUUCCAGCAUCCCUAAAAGCCUUAAGUAUUUUCCAUAGCAACAAUAGGAAUAUGUGUUGUUGUUUUUCUCCAAGAGACAUUCAUGUCUGUCAGAUAUUCACAGAAACCAGUCAAAAGUGCACACUCUCUGAUUUGGCCCAAUACCACCAAUUACCAGGAGGAAGGUACCAGGGCUGUGUAGCCCCUGAAUUACUCUAUUAGCCAUAGUGGUUCUGUGCUGGAAGAGAAUUUGCUUUUGAAUCAGAAAUGGCACCCCGUUAUUUGGUUAGUUCAAACCCUUCAUAUUCCAGGAGGUUCCUGGUGAGUAUUGCUUAUUGUGUUGUUUUAUUGAAGAGGAGUAUUAGCUGGUAGAUAGUUUAAAAGUAAUAACGGUUGGGUCAGUCUCUGAAUGGUCGCUGCUUUGAAUUCCUGGGGAACAGGUAGCCUAGCAGUUAACGCAUUUGACCAGUAAAGAAAAAGUUGGUGGAUGUAAUAAAUAUUUAGUUCUGCACCUCAGCAAGACAGUUCACCCCAAGUGCUCCGCUAAGUCGCUCUGGACAAGACCUUAAUUGCUCUUAUAAGUCACUCUGGUUAGGACAUCGGCAAACAACCAAGCCAAUUUGGGAAACAACACGCAUAACAAGAUACCCGUGUGUUCUCAACCCAGCGUAUUCUCAACGCAGCGUGUUCUCAACGCAGCGUGUUCUCAACGCAGCGUGUUCUCAACCCAGCGUGUUCUCAACCCAGCGUGUUCUCAGUCCGGUGAAUGAUCCCAACUGGAGCCGAUGCUCUGACUUGCAGAGUGAAGAAAAAAACAUCCACUGACCAUUGAACAUGAUGUGCUGCUUGGCAGAGAAGGAAAGGCUGGAGGGAGUGUAAGGUCACAGAAUAUGUCAAAACCCAGCCGAUGUUUGGUAAUCUCAGGACAAAAAUCUUUGAGAAUAUGUACAGAGUGACAUUAAUUGCAGAACAUCAUACUUGUGACAAUGUAUUUAUCUAAAAAGAAUUUGAGACAAUGUCUUAUUUUAUAGCCUGCAAUUGUCUUGUUUGCUCAUAUGUUGUUGCAAAG
ensembl:lncRNA